CAACUUUCAACAACGGAUCUCUUGGUUCUGGCAUCGAUGAAGAACGCAGCGAAAUGCGAUACGUAGUGUGAAUUGCAGAAUUCAGUGAAUCAUCGAAUCUUUGAACGCACAUUGCGCCCUUUGGUAUUCCAAAGGGCAUGCCUGUUCGAGCGUCAU
rnacentral:rRNA from 47 species